ACGGAAGGCAGCAGUGGGGAAUAUUGCACAAUGGGCGCAAGCCUGAUGCAGCCAUGCCGCGUGUAUGAAGAAGGCCUUCGGGUUGUAAAGUACUUUCAGUCGUGAGGAAGGUGUUAAGGUUAAUAACCUUAGCAAUUGACGUUAGCGACAGAAGAAGCACCGGCUAACUCCGUGCCAGCAGCCGCGGUAAUACGGAGGGUGCGAGCGUUAAUCGGAAUUACUGGGCGUAAAGGGCACGCAGGCGGUUAAUUAAGUUGGAUGUGAAUCCCCGGGCUUAACCUGGGAAUGGCAUUCAAGACUGGUUAGCUAGAGUCUUGUAGAGGGGGUAGAAUUCCAUGUGUAGCGGUGAAAUGCGUAGAGAUGUGGAGGAAUACCGGUGGCGAAGGCGGCCCCUGGACAAAGACUGACGCUCAUGUGCGAAAGCGUGGGGAGCAAACAGGAUUAGAUACC
rnacentral:rRNA from 1 species